rnacentral:lncRNA from 1 species
GUUCAUGCAGUGAGGGUGAAGUAAAGGUUGAAGAGACAGAGGCUGCAGCAGGCUAAACCUCAGCAUGGUAAAAUAAUUAGGCCUGGCUUUGAUGGGGACUAAACAAACAUUACCGCUCUCAACGCUGCCCUUUUUCCCCUCUCCUCCUCUCCGCGAUGAGUUCCCUCUGAAACACUGGCCAGCCGACUCCCUUUCUGCUUUCUCGCUUUGUUUGGCAGUUGAAGUUGAUCGAAUGGGUACCUUGAACCCUCAAGCAAAUGUUCAGGGUUUUGUGAACAUUACACAUACAGUCUUCAGUCUUCAGUUGAAUUAACAUUCAGCUAUCAUUGAGUGUUCAUGAUCCAUUGGAACACAAGCCUACAGAGGUCUACACAGCUGUUUGGACACCAGGGGCCACUUUUCUGCACCCAGAUGAAAAAGAGAAAGACUCAAAGCAAACUUGCAGGUAGGCCUGCAAAAGUAAUCGCUCUCUCCAGCCCAGAACAGAAAAACAGAAGAAAGGGGGAGCAUGAGGCACAAAAGUGUGUGUUUGCUUUAGUGUGUUAGGUGCGUGCAUAAGGGAGACCACAUGCACGCCCAAUACCAGGAAUGAUAUCUGCUUUUAUUGACUUUGUUAAACCAUUCUCAAUGCUACUUCCUAUGUGUUUACAAGACAGUAAAUCAGAUCUCAUUCAGAGGAACAGAGCACCCAUGUCAAGGGAAAAACCCCUUGAUGGAAAGGAGAGUAAAAGCUGAGGACAGGAGCAUCCUCAACUUGAACUAUCAACCACCCUGGCCUGACUAAAAGAUGCUGCCAAC